rfam:Gossypium hirsutum cultivar TM-1 unplaced genomic scaffold scaffold3883.1, whole genome shotgun sequence
UAUUAAAUUUUUUAUUUAUUUGUACUGUUAAAAAUUGGCAUGGUUAACAGAAUAAUCAAACAACGACACAUGACAUGCCACAUGUACCUUGUGCUCACAUGCAUUGAUCAAUUUGUAACCGUAGAAAUAAAUGAAUUUUUAGCA